AAAGAUAAGGAGAAGGAAAAGAAGCCUGGGAUCGUGGUGAUCCAGGGCCCAAAGCCUGGGAAGCCAACAGACAUGGCACGGAUGCGGCAGAUAUUGCUGAAGCUGAAGCACACUCCCCCACCACACAUGAAGCCACCCCCGCCACCUGCUGCAGCCACUGGAAAGGAUGGAGCACCAGCUGCUGCUGGAAAGGAUGGAGCUAAGCCAGCAGCCCCUGCCAAUGGCAGUGUCCCUGAGAUGGAAAAGGCCGCCGCGGUGGCACCAGUGCCUGCAGCAGCACCACCAGCAGCAACUGAGCCGAUUGCAGCUGCCUAAUCUAAUCAU
rnacentral:lncRNA from 1 species